UUGCUCUCAUUUCCUUUCUCUCCUGAUCCAAUCUCCACCUUCCCUGAUUCCUAUCCUCACUGUGCUUUCCCUCUUUGUAGAACCACCCUCAAGCUCUGUACUCCACACCCCUCACCCCCAGCCUCAGACCUUCCCAGAGAAAUUGUAUAGAAUUGAGAGACAAAGCAAGGUCCACUUGAAAAAAGAGUGUCCGCCCACAUAAACUUCUUCAGAACAAUCUUUGCACAACGUACCUGCUGCUUAGUAAAUGUUUAAUAGUGAACUAAAACGUCCUCCUUUCCGUGCCCAUCCUCCAGAGCCCUGCCCUGGGAGAGGGGAGGUGAAGAGAACUAAGAUAACGUCGUUCUUCAGCUUUCUCCUCUCCUGGCUUCCAAACUCUGCCCAGGUUCUCCAAUGUCCGAAUUCCAAACGUGAUGACCUGCUCUACUGGCAAGACCUCUGAGAGAAAUAGAAUAACAAGCCACAGUCCUGGUUAAUGGAGCAGAAACACGCGAAGGUGACAGCUACUGGUUUCAGAAAGAUCAUAUGCACUUCUUCGUGUUCAUGUUACUUUUCUCCCUCAAGUGAAAUUGAAGAUCGAGCCAUCUGUAAACUCCGUCCUCCUGUUCAAGGAAGACCCCCAAGGCUGCAUGAUAUGGACGGACAACGCCAGAAGGCCGGGGGCCAAGUAUGACGGAUUAGCCGGGUUCCUUGGGAAACCUAGUCUGAUGAUCACAGAACCUGGAGAAAGAACCUUGGGUUCACUGUGAUGUCACCACUGGCAGCUGGGCGAUCGGGAGAGCUGCUCCUCCUCUCGGAACCUUGUUUCGCUUCCGUGCAAAAGACCUAACAGCCUCGGCUGGCCUGGCUCCCGGCUCUGUUUGGAGGGUCAGCGGGAAGGUGUCUGGCGUGCGCGCGCGGUUUGCCAAGCCGCGGGCGCGGUGCUUUCCUCGGAGAUUGCUGUUGCCGCGGCUGGGCGGCGGCAGCAGCUGCAGCAGCAGCAGCAGCAGCGACGCGGGCUUGGGGC